GUUCCAAGAUGGAAGAAGAACUAUGUGAUGAAGCUGACCGAAAUCAACCAGCUCAGAUCCGGAUCACAUCAACAGGACUCACUCAUUGAAGAUGAAUCACAACUGGACAGGGAUCUUC